rnacentral:rRNA from 1 species
CCUACGGGACGCUGCAGUGGGGAAUAUUGGACAAUGGGCGAAAGCCUGAUCCAGCCAUGCCGCGUGUGUGAAGAAGGCCUUCGGGUUGUAAAGCACUUUCAGUGGGGAAGAAAGCCUUGGGGCUAAUACCCUCGAGGAAGGACAUCACCCACAGAAGAAGCACCGGCUAACUCCGUGCCAGCAGCCGCGGUAAUACGGAGGGUGCGAGCGUUAAUCGGAAUUACUGGGCGUAAAGCGCGCGUAGGCGGUCUGAUAAGCCGGUUGUGAAAGCCCCGGGCUCAACCUGGGAACGGCAUCCGGAACUGUCAGGCUAGAGUGCAGGAGAGGAAGGUAGAAUUCCCGGUGUAGCGGUGAAAUGCGUAGAGAUCGGGAGGAAUACCAGUGGCGAAGGCGGCCUUCUGGACUGACACUGACGCUGAGGUGCGAAAGCGUGGGUAGCAAACAGGAUUAGAUACCCUUGUAGUC